rnacentral:lncRNA from 1 species
GUCCUUGAGCAAUAUUUCCUAAGUGUGUUCUCAGAAACAUGGAUCUGGUAUUUUAUAUACAAAAAAAAAAAGGUAUCCUGGUGUAUUAGGUAGGGUAAAGCAAGAUGUUGUAACAAGUACCCACAUUCCAGUGACUUAACACAAUAGGGGUUUAUUUUUGCCUCCUGUAAUAGUCCAUGUUGGUAGACAUUUCAUUUAUUUAUUUAUUUUGGUAUGGUGGUCCAGGCAUUCAGUUUCCUUCCAUCAUAAGUCUGCAUCACUCCCUAGGGCCUUGGACUCUUCUGUUUCCAGCUGGUGGAACUGCACAAUAGAGUGGAGAAUGCAUAUUUCUUCUCAAUUACCUUGACCUGGUUGUGACACACAUCAUUUAUGUUCACAUUUCUACACUCCAUUGGCCUGAACUAGGCACAUGACCUCACCUGUGUUUAAGGUGUGUGUAUGUUUGGGAAGGUAAAUUAGAAACAGUGUCUGUGUGGGCAGCUACAGGUAAGGAACUAGAUAAACAUUCCCAUUUGUAGUUGGCAGGAGUGGAAAUUAGGAUUGCCUGAAUGGAGGGCACUGUGGUAUUAUCUGUCAAAUUUUAAAAUAUACAUGUUGUUUGGCCUCAAAAUUUCUCUUCUAGCAAUUUUUCCUACAGAAUUAUUCACAGAUAUGUACAUAUAUAUGUUUUAAACUUAUAUUUAGCAAUACUGUGAUAAUAAAAGGUUAAAACAUUCUGAAUGUCCAUAAAAAUGCACUGGAUGAAUGUAGCAUUGUACC